GCCAAAUCACAUUGAGACACAGUUUCCUAUACAAACACUGAGGUUAAGCAACGUCGAGCCUGGUCAGUACCUAGAUGGGUGACAACUUGUGAAUACCAGGUGCUGUAAG